GUUUGGGGCCUGAUUGUCGCUCCGCAGUUCUUUCAAAACGCUACGGAGAGGAAAGUCCGGACACCGCAGGGCAGGAUGCCGUGCGAGAGGUUUUGGCCUCAAGCAUGGGCGGCGCGCGUCAAGGCGCGUCGACGGAUAGUGUCACAGAAAACAAACCGCCUGUGCGGCGUGGUUCUUCGUAACUGCGCCAAGCGGGUAAGGGUGAAAAGGUGGGGUAAGAGCCCACCGCGUCGCGCGUGAGCGUUCGGCGGCACGAAAAACCCCAUCCGGUGCAAGGCAAAAUAGGAGACUGGGCGGCCCGUCCUAUAGGUCUCGGGUAUGCUGCAGCGCGUCGCGGUUCGCGGAGCUGGGGCCUUAGGGCCUCGGCUGCGAGGAGCCGCACGAGCCAAGGCGAGGGGAUCUUUUUUCUCUCGGCUUGAGAUAAAUGACAAUCGAAGCGCGCGGGGGCGGUUUACCGCUGCUGGCGCGCGGAACAGAAUCCGGCUUACCGGCCCCAAGCGUGC
rnacentral:RNase_P_RNA from 2 species